rnacentral:rRNA from 1 species
CCUGCCCUGAGGUGGGGAAUAACCCGGGGAAACUCGGGCUAAUACCGCAUGAUACCGAGAGGUCAAAGAGGGCUCGCAAGGGCUCUUGCCACAGGAGGGGUCCGCGUUCGAUUAGCUAGUUGGUAGGGUAAUGGCCUACCAAGGCGACGAUCGAUAGCCGGCCUGAGAGGGUGAUCGGCCACACUGGAACUGAGACACGGUCCAGACUCCUACGGGAGGCAGCAGUGGGGAAUAUUGGACAAUGGGCGCAAGCCUGAUCCAGCCAUGCCGCGUGAGUGAUGAAGGCCCUAGGGUUGUAAAGCUCUUUUGUGCGGGAAGAUAAUGACGGUACCGCAAGAAUAAGCCCCGGCCAACUUCGUGCCAGCAGCCGCGGUAAUACGGAGGGUGCAAGCGUUAUCCGGAUUUACUGGGUUUAAAGGGU